AAUCAACGCUGGCGGCGUGCCUCAGACAUGCAAGUCGAACGCGAAAGUUCCCUUCGGGGGGCGAGUAGAGUGGCGCACGGGUGAGUAACACAUCGGAACGUGCCCAGUAGUGGGGGAUAGCUCGGCGAAAGCCGGAUUAAUACCGCAUACGACCUACGGGUGAAAGCGGGGGAUCGCAAGACCUCGCGCUAUCGGAGCGGCCGAUGUCAGAUUAGGUUGUUGGUGGGGUAAAGGCCUACCAAGCCGACGAUCUGUAGCUGGUCUGAGAGGACGACCAGCCACACUGGGACUGAGACACGGCCCAGACUCCUACGGGAGGCAGCAGUGGGGAAUUUUGGACAAUGGGCGCAAGCCUGAUCCAGCCAUGCCGCGUGCGGGAAGAAGGCCU
rnacentral:rRNA from 1 species